rnacentral:rRNA from 1 species
UACGUAGGGGGCUAGCGUUGUCCGGAAUCAUUGGGCGUAAAGCGCGUGUAGGCGGCCCGGUAAGUCCGCUGUGAAAGUCGGGGGCUCAACCCUCGGAUGCCGAUCGAUACUGUCGGGCUAGAGUCCGGAAGAGGCGAGUGGAAUUCCUGGUGUAGCGGUGAAAUGCGCAGAUAUCAGGAGGAACACCAAUGGCGAAGGCGGCUCACUGGCCCGGUACUGACGCUGAGGUGCGAAAGCGUGGGGAGCAAACAGG